UGAUAAUUAUUAUCUUUUUAUCAUUAUUAGUUUAUACUAGUUUAUUUUUACUUUAUCUUUUAUUUAUUUAUUCUAUUUUUAUUGAGAAGCAAAAGAAAUAAAAAGAAAAAGGGGUUUUGGGUUUGUUAAGUUCCAAUUAAAACCCAUCCUGAGCUGAAAUAAAAAGCCAGCCGGCCCCUUCCCCGAAGGAAGACGUCGAGUCCAGCAUUUUUUGCAGCUAAACGACGCCGUUCGGUGCUUAAUGAAACGGCGUCAUUUUAGCGUGGAAUAAAAAGCGUAAUUAGGGUUUCUACAUCAUCAUUCGGCUGCCUGUUCUCUCGCUACAGAGCGCGCGGCGGCUGGAAGAGCAGGAAGGAAGUUGACGGAGGGGGGGAGGAAGAGAGAGAGAGAGACCGAAAGUGAAAGGA
rnacentral:lncRNA from 1 species